AACGAACGCUGGCGGCAGGCUUAACACAUGCAAGUCGAGCGCCCCGCAAGGGGAGCGGCAGACGGGUGAGUAACGCGUGGGAACGUACCUUUUGGUUCGGAACAACUCCGGGAAACUGGAGCUAAUACCGGAUAAGCCCUAACGGGGAAAGAUUUAUCGCCGAAAGAUCGGCCCGCGUCUGAUUAGCUAGUUGGUGAGGUAACGGCUCACCAAGGCGACGAUCAGUAGCUGGUCUGAGAGGAUGAUCAGCCACACUGAGACUGAGACACGGCCCAGACUCCUACGGGAGGCAGCAGUGGGGAAUAUUGGACAAUGGGCGCAAGCCUGAUCCAGCCAUGCCGCGUGAGUGAUGAAGGCCUUAGGGUUGUAAAGCUCUUUUGUCCGGGAAGAUAAUGACUGUACCGGAAGAAUAAGCCCCGGCUAACUUCGUG
rnacentral:rRNA from 1 species